rnacentral:rRNA from 1 species
GACGAAGGAUGCAAGCGUUAUCCGGAUUCAUUGGGUUUAAAGGGAGCGUAGGUGGCCUUAUAAGUCAGUGGUGAAAUCUCGCAGCUUAACUGCGAAAUUGCCAUUGAUACUGUAGGGCUUGAGUAUAGUUGCCGUUGGCGGAAUAUGACAUGUAGUGGUGAAAUACAUAGAGAUGUCAUAGAACACCGAUUGCGAAGGCAGCUGACGAAACUAUAACUGACACUGAGGCUCGAAAGUGCGGGGAUCAAACAGG